UUGAACGCUGGCGGCAGGCCUCACACAUGCAAGUCGAACGGUAACAGGAAGCAGCUUGCUGCUUUGCUGACGAGUGGCGGACGGGUGAGUAAUGUCUGGGAAACUGCCUGAUGGAGGGGGAUAACUACUGGAAACGGUAGCUAAUACCGCAUAACGUCGCAAGACCAAAGAGGGGGACCUUCGGGCCUCUUGCCAUCGGAUGUGCCCAGAUGGGAUUAGCUUGUUGGUGGGGUAACGGCUCACCAAGGCGACGAUCCCUAGCUGGUCUGAGAGGAUGACCAGCCACACUGGAACUGAGACACGGUCCAGACUCCUACGGGAGGCAGCAGUGGGGAAUAUUGCACAAUGGGCGCAAGCCUGAUGCAGCCAUGCCGCGUGUAUGAAGAAGGCCUUCGGGUUGUAAAGUACUUUCAGCGGGGAGGAAGGGAGUAAAGUUAAUACCUUUACUCAUUGACGUUACCCGCAGAAGAAGCACCGGCUAACUCCGUG
rnacentral:rRNA from 1 species